ACGAACGCUGGCGGCGUGCUUAACACAUGCAAGUCGCACGGAAAGGCCCUGCUUUUGUGGGGUGCUCGAGUGGCGAACGGGUGAGUAACCCGUGAGUAACCUUCCCUUGACUUUGGGAUAACUUCAGGAAACUGGGGCUAAUACCGGAUAGGAGCUCCUGCUGCAUGGUGGGGGUUGGAAAGUUUCGGCGGUUGGGGAUGGACUCGCGGCUUAUCAGCUUGUUGGUGGGGUAGUGGCUUACCAAGGCUUUGACGGGUAGCCGGCCUGAGAGGGUGACCGGCCACAUUGGGACUGAGAUACGGCCCAGACUCCUACGGGAGGCAGCAGUGGGGAAUAUUGCACAAUGGGCGGAAGCCUGAUGCAGCAACGCCGCGUGCGGGAUGACGGCCUUCGGGUUGUAAACCGCUUUCGCCUGUGACGAAGCGUGAGUGGCGGUAAUGGGUAAAGAAGCACCGGCUAACUACGUG
rnacentral:rRNA from 1 species